UACGUAGGGUGCAAGCGUUGUCCGGAAUUAUUGGGCGUAAAGAGCUCGUAGGCGGUCUGUUGCGUCGGCUGGGAAAACCCGGGGCUCAACCCCGGGCCUGCAGCCGAUACGGGCAGACUAGAGUUCGGCAGGGGAGACUGGAAUUCCUGGUGUAGCGGUGAAAUGCGCAGAUAUCAGGAGGAACACCGGUGGCGAAGGCGGGUCUCUGGGCCGAUACUGACGCUGAGGAGCGAAAGCGUGGGGAGCGAACAGG
rnacentral:rRNA from 1 species